UUCUGCUCAAUGAUUUUUAAAUAGCCGCAGUACUCUGACUGUGCAAAGGUAGCAUAAUCAUUUGGCUUAUAAUUGAAGUCUGGCAUGAAAGAACUAAUGGGGAAUUACUGUCUUUUGGGGGUGUCUAGAACUUAUUUAGCAAGUGAAAAUACUUGUAAAUAGAUAAUAGACGAGAAGACCCUAGAAAUUUAAUAUAACCUGAUUUGUAAUUAGAUUUAUUUUGUUGGGGCGACAGAGUAACAUUAAACUUACUUUAAAUAAUUUGGACUAUGUUUUGAGUGAAAAUAAAUUACUCUAGGGAUAACAGCAUAAUCUGCAAGAGUUUGUGACCUCGAUGUUGGACUAGGGACUUUAGUGUUUAGAAGACACUAAAUCAAGCUCUGUUCGAGCAAUUAUCCCUACGUGAUCUGAGUUCAGACCGGA
rnacentral:rRNA from 1 species